AAAGGAAUUGACGGGCACCCGCACAAGCGGUGGAGCAUGCUGUUUAAUUCGAAGAUACGCGAAAAACCUUACCUAGAUUUGACAUCCUUGGGAAGCGGUUUACUGUGAAGGCAAUGUUAUAGAAAUAUAGCGGAGCACAUCCGAGUGACAGGUGGUGCAUGGUUGUCGUCAGCUCGUGUCGUGAGAUGUUUGGUUAAGUCCAAUAACGAGCGCAACCCUCAUCUUUAGUUGCUAACAUUUAGUUGAGUUCUCUAAAGAGACUGCCAGUGUAAGCUGGAGGAAGGUGGGGAUGACGUCAAAUCAUCAUGCCCCUUACAUCUAGGGCUACAGGCGUGCUACAAUGGCCGAUACAACGAGUUGCGACGUAGUGAUACGAAGCUAAUCUCUUAAAGUCGGUCUCAGUCCGGAUUGGAGUCUGCAAUUCGACUCCAUGAAGUUGGAAUCGCUAGUAAUCCCGAAUCAGAAUGUCGGGGUGAAUACGUUCCCGGGUGUUGCACACACCGCCCGU
rnacentral:rRNA from 1 species